UUCGUAGGUGGCUAGCUAAGUCAGACGUGAAAUCCCUCAGCUUAACUGGGGAACUGCGUCUGAUACUGGCAAGCUUGAGUGCAGGAGAGGAACGCGGAAUUCCAGGUGUAGCGGUGAAAUGCGUAGAUAUCUGGAGGAACACCGGUGGCGAAGGCGGCGUUCUGGACUGCAACUGACACUGAGGAACGAAAGCCAGGGAGCAAACG
rnacentral:rRNA from 1 species